CCGGCCAAGGCAAGAACAAAAGGGAAAAAGCAUAGAACAAACCCUAGAGAAGAAAAUCAAGAGAAAAUUCAUUGGAUUUCAAGGAAUUAAGCAAGUAAAGGUAAAAUUUCUUAAUUCUAGCUUGUGAUCUACCUUUCCUAUGCAUUCUUUUUCAAUUACCAUGGUUAAAAUUCAAGAUCUCAUGAAGGAUUCAUGGCUGACCGAAUUUAGGGAGAGAAGAUUUGAUGAUUUAUUUGGUUAGAUUUCAAGGUAUCUUAGUGUUUUUAGUUGUUUGGUGAUGUUUAGCAUGAAAAACAAGCAAGAAAUUUCAUGCCCUUCACCCACACUCCUUGGCUGAAAUUUUCAAGAGAGAAAUUGGAUAAUGGACUUUGAUGAAUUUCAUGCUAUUUAGGUGUUUUUAGUUGUUUUAUGAUGUAAGGUGUAAAAAUCAAGCAUGAAAAUUACAUGUUCUACACUAAACCUUCAAUGGCCGAAUUUUACAAGGAAGAUAUUGAUGAUGGAUUUUUGUGAUAUUACAUAUUAUUUAACUUGUAAUUGAUGACUUGGAGUGUUGGAAGUGGAAUCAAGUUAAUUGGAGUUGAAUUGGAUGUAUUGGCCAAUUAACCGGUGUAUAGAUCGAAUUAGGCCAAUACCAUUUUAUUUCGAUACAUAAUUGAAGCUACGUAGAACACCAUAUUUAGAUAAUAAUCCGAACAUUUCGCAUCCCAUUUCAUGCAUUCAUAUAGAGCCUAAAUUAGUUUUAUAACGGUUUAGUACAAAUAUAGUAAAUUGCUUGUUGUGCAUUAUGUUUAGGUGGUGAAACUUUCGAUAUGGGUAAGGAGAUUGUACCCAAAGAUCAGGACUAGGAGUACUUCGACUCCCGAUAUUGUGAGUAACCUUAUUAUCAUCUUAAUUAUCUAAAGUAGUUUUUAUUCGUUUUUGUGAUUUUAUAGAAAAUUGAGUUUAAACAGUAAAUCCUUAUGUUUUAUAAGUAAAAUGUGAUUAAAUGAAAUGAGUUUUAUAAAUCAUUUUGAAAUUGAAUGAUGAUUUUAGAAAUUGAGUAAUUGGAGACUAUUUGUUUGUGUUGUAAAUUUAUGAUUUGAAUUGAAUGGCUUAUGGUGAUAUUGGCAUGAAUGGCUGAAUUGAAAAUUGUGUUGAAAUUGUAUGAACUGUUUGUUUUGCCUUAACAGGCUGGGUAGUAAUAUAAUUGUCAUGUCAUGUUGUCGAAACUUUUAUUGAUUUGGUGGGAUAUUGAUUAGUCACUCAGUGGCCGGUUUCCGUGGACCAACCUAUUAGAGAAAGGCAUGGUAAAUCCAGUUAUAUUUUACCUUGGUACAAGAGGCGUGGAGGGUAUCUCCUGAGGGUAAGCUUUAGAGUUCACUACAUGCUAAACCACCACGUGCGGGUGAAUUCAGCCAACGCCAAGGAACGACUAUGCUUUUAAAUGUAAAAAUGUGUUUUAUGCGUAUAUGAACUUUUCUUUAACAGCCUUGGCGGACUCGAUUGGAUGCCCCGGCCAAGGUAUCUCCGAGAAUGAGUUUUGGCACGAGCCAAAUUUUUAAGAAAUUCAUAAGCCAUGUUGAUUAUUUGAGUGAAAUGAAAUUAUUUUAUUUAGUUGAAAUGAGUUUGAAACGUUAUGUAUCAUAGUACGAUGAACUAUUUUAAGUUGUCUCCAUUUACUCGACUUUAGAUAUUUUAGAUAAUGUUUGUUUACUCACUGAGUUUAUAUAAACUCACCACCCUCCUUUCCACUCAUUCAAGGAUCAGGACAGUCCGUAAAUAGCUAAUUACGUCGAGAGUUAUUAUUGGACUCUCCUCCUCAGAAACUGUAGGUCCACAGCCUUUGUUACCUUUGGUCAUUCGGGGGCCCACAUGUCAUUGUAAUUUAAAUUACAUACUCUGGUUAUUUGUGUUACUGUAUGUAUGGAUUUAUUUUGCUUUAACACUACAAAAAUUAUUUACGCAGAGUUCUAUAAAUAUUGUUUUAUAAGAAAAUGGAAUAUUUCAUUUAAUAUUUUUAUUUUAUUCUAUUAGCUACAAUUUCAC
rnacentral:lncRNA from 1 species